rnacentral:rRNA from 1 species
UGUGAGGAACUUUACGGAGGGAAAACACAAUGACCCAGUGGCGGACGGGUGAGUAACGCGUAGGGAACCUGGCCCUUACAGGGGGAUAACAGAUGGAAACAACUGCUAAUACCGCAUAAGCGCCCAGCCUCGCAUGAGGCAGAGUGAAAAACUAAGGUGGUAAGGGAUGGCCCUGCGUCCGAUUAGCUAGUUGGUAUGGUAACGGCAUACCAAGGCGACGAUCGGUAGCCGGCCUGAGAGGGUGGACGGCCACAUUGGGACUGAGACACGGCCCAAACUCCUACGGGAGGCAGCAGUGGGGGAUAUUGCACAAUGGGGGAAACCCUGAUGCAGCGACACCGCGUGGGUGAAGAAGCGCUUCGGCGUGUAAAGCCCUAUCAGUGGGGAAGAAAAAGGACGGUACCCAAAGAAGAAGCACCGGCUAAAUACGUGCCAGCAGCCGCGGUAAUACGUAUGGUGCAAGCGUUAUCCGGAAUGACUGGGUGUAAAGGGAGCGUAGACGGUUGUACAAGUCUGAUGUGAAAGCCCACGGCUCAACUGUGGGAGUGCAUUGGAAACUGUAGAACUAGAGUAUCGGAGAGGCAAGUGGAAUUCCUAGUGUAGCGGUGAAAUGCGUAGAUAUUAGGAGGAACACCAGUGGCGAAGGCGGCUUGCUGGACGAAAACUGACGUUGAGGCUCGAAAGCGUGGGGAGCAAACAGGAUUAGAUACCCUGGUAGUCCACGCUGUAAACGAUGAAUACUAGGUGUUGGGGCCCGAAGGGCGUCGGUGCCGUCGCAAACGCAGUAAGUAUUCCACCUGG